CCCUUAGAUGUUCUGGGCUGCACGCGCGCUACACUGAUGCAUCCAACAAGUUUUUUCCUUGUUCGAGAGGACUAGGUAAUCUUAUGAGAAUGCAUCGUGAUGGGGAUAGAUUAUUGCAAUUAUUAAUCUUCAACGAGGAAUUCCUAGUAAGCGCGAGUCAUCAGCUCGUGCUGAUUACGUCCCUGCCCUUUGUACACACCGCCCGUCGCUGCAACUGAUUGAAUGGUUUAGUGAGAUCUCUGGAUUGACGCUGGCUAGGGGGCGACCCUUGGCCAGACUGUUGAGAAACUGCUCAAACUUGAUCAUUUAGAGGAAGUAAAAGUCGUAACA
rnacentral:rRNA from 1 species